GUGACCUCAUGGAGUCCUGCACAUCUCCCCGGGGUUGGUGAGCUGCUAUGUGCCUAUUCUCCAAUGAUGCAUAGAGAGGAGGGAAACAAUGGGCAGGCAUCGGACAUGAGGUCUGACUGCCAGGAAACACAAAGCAGACAGGACAAAAGACACAGCAGUGACAGCACCCACCCACAGCAUCCUAAAACUGAUGCCUCUUACUCCUGCUCACCCCACCUACUGUGUUUUGAAUCCAAAAUGUCCCCAAGUCCAUGAUCUCAAUGUUUGACCUCAGUGGGUGACACUAUUUUGAACCCUUAGGAAAUGAGGCCUAGCUGGCUGAGGUAGAGCAAUAGGGUAGGCCUUUGAUGGUUCUAGCUCAGCCUCUGAGGCCAGCAUUCUCUGCUUCAAACUACUGCCACCACAAAUGGAGUCUUGCCACCAUGCCUUCACAGGUGAGACUGAAACCGGAGUGAACCGGAAUUAACUGGAAUGAACCAGAAUGAACUGGAAUGAACCGGAAUGAACAGGAACGAAGACGCUAACAGUGACAUAAUUAUGAUGAGCACACCUCUUUUUGUGGCAGAUGCAAGUUCCCAGAGAGCAGCUACGAAUGCCUCCAAGAGAGCAGCUACAGCCAGAGGUGGGGCGAACACGGAGUUGACUGUGGAUGCUUUAAAGCAAUUCUUCAAUUUUUAGUCCAGAAGACUACAGAGUCCUUCAAACAUUAGAGAUAAAAGGCCCUUCUAGAACCAUCCAGCAGAGCAACCACAUUCUGAAGACAAGGAUUUGGACUCCCAGGAAAAAACAUCUACUGCCCAUAGUUACCAAGUUAGGAUUAGAGAUGAAACUCCUUGGUGUUCUAAUCCCCAGUCUGCUUUCCUCCAUCGCUAAGUGUCUUUUUUUUUUUUUUUUUUUGGUUCUUUUUUUCGGAGCUGGGGACCGAACCCAGGGCCUUGCGCUUCCUAGGUAAGCGCUCUACCACUGAGCUAAAUCCCCAGCCCCGCUAAGUGUCUUUUAUAUACUGGUAUGUAAUGGUUAGUGGGGGCAGUUGGCACAAGUCACCACCCUAAAGAGCUAUCAUUUCUUUGCAUCGGGUACAUUAAAAAUCCCCUCUAUUAUUUUGAAAUUAACUGCUGUCAACCAUGGUUAAUCUACUGUUCUAUAGAACAUUGUAAGUUAUUCCUCCCACCCUGUUAAGACCCUUGGCAAAAUGUUUUACUUUGCCUUCUUGUUCAUUUUCCCUGUGCUUUCUCCAGGUGACAUCAGGUCACAAAGAAAAAUGAAAAGAUGCCAAGGUGUUUGUGGAGGUGAGAUGUGGCAAAGGGCCACCAAUUGUGUGUGCACCCUCCUGCGUGAGGAUUAAAGUCACCCAAAUGCCAUGGAGAGGAGAUCCCAAAUAUUCAUGUGUUAUUAAAAUGUUGAGCAUUAACUUGUAAGUGCGAACUUCUGCAUCUUUCUAUAUAUACUAAAACAUAUACAUUUUAAAACAUAUACAUAUACAUAUAUGUAUACCCUAAGACAGAGAAAUUAACAGAUAACAUCCCAAAGCUAACUUUAGCAUGUUGAUUUGGUAUAAAAUGACCCAAAGAGACAUUUUAUGGGCUUAACAGAAUAAAGUUUGUCUUCCUUGG